rnacentral:rRNA from 1 species
AACGAACGCUGGCGGCGCGUCUUAAGCAUGCAAGUCGAACGGCAUGAGGAAGCUUGCUUCCUCAGAGAGUGGCGGACUGGUGAGUAACACGUGGGUGACCUACCCUUGAGAUGGGGAUAGCCAUUAGAAAUAGUGGAUAAUACCGAAUACGCUCUACGGACUCUGGUUUGUAGAGGAAACAGGCUACGGCCUGGCUCGAGGAUGGGCCCGCGUCCCAUUAGCUAGUUGGUGAGGUAAGAGCCCACCAAGGCGACGAUGGGUAUCCGGCCUGAGAGGGUGAUCGGACACAUUGGGACUGAGAUACGGCCCAGACUCCUACGGGAGGCAGCAGCUAAGAAUAUUCCACAAUGGACGAAAGUCUGAUGGAGCGACACCGCGUGGAUGAUGAAGGCCGAAAGGUUGUAAAAUCCUUUUAAACUGGAAGAAUAAUCAUGGUAGGGAAUGACCGUGAGGUGACCGUACAGUUUGAAUAAGCAACGGCUAAUUACGUGCCAGCA